CUUUUUUUCGUCAAGCAUAGCUCUAGAACUUUGUAUCACUGAUAGUAGAAAAUUGAUGCCGCUACACGCAAAAUGGCAACUUAAAACAUCUGACUGGUGCCAGAGUAUGAGCUGUGUGGUUUGACUUGAAUAACCAGGAAAAGAAGGAUUAUGAUUUCAAGAUUUUUGGAAGGAUAUGAAAAUCCAAAAUUUAUUUUAAUUGAAGAUACCGUAAGUAGAAGUGGGAAAAAUCUGUUGAAUGCAUUUCUAAAGCACUAUAUAAAAAGGUAUAU